UGUUCCCUCAACAAGGCAAGCCAAUUGGGACUAAAGCUGAUGAGACCUCCCCUUCAUUUGAGCCUCUCUCAAUCAAGCAAGUCGAUACCUACCUAUCAGGAACCAGGCAAGGCUCGCUGAAACAUCUCUCUCAUUUGGGGCUCCUAAAUAGUACAACCGAAGAGUAAAGGGCUUUUGAGGACAUUCCCUUCAUUUGAGCCUCUUGAACCGGUUGACGAAACCUCCUCUUCAAGGACUAGGGAGGUCAAACCACGCCCUUCGUUUGAGCCUCUUAAACAGAUCCAACCAGAGUGUAAAGGUCUCCUGAGCUUCCUGAAUGUGUCAAACCAGAGAGUAGGAAGCAACCUCCUCUCAACUAGGUCUUUGGCUGAAUCAGCCCAACCGGAGAAUCGAAUAGCAGCAGGGCUCCAAUCGGGGUGAACAGUUUUGACAAGCGCAGCAAUGCCAGAAACAUGAGGGCAUGCCAUUGAAGUACCAGAUUGAGAAAGAUAAGGAACAAUGCGGUUAUCAUCUUCAAAAUUAGUUGCUGCCUUUCCACCACUGUAAGCAGCAAUUAUAUCCACUCCAGGUGCAAUGACAUCAGGCUAAAA